UACGAAGGGGGCUAGCGUUGCUCGGAAUCACUGGGCGUAAAGGGUGCGUAGGCGGUGCUUUAAGUCAGGGGUGAAAUCCUGGAGCUCAACUCCAGAACUGCCUUUGAUACUGAGGAUCUUGAGUUCGGGAGAGGUGAGUGGAACUGCGAGUGUAGAGGUGAAAUUCGUAGAUAUUCGCAAGAACACCAGUGGCGAAGGCGGCUCACUGGCCCGAUACUGACGCUGAGGCACGAAAGCGUGGGGAGCAAACAGG
rnacentral:rRNA from 1 species